AUAAGAAACUAACAAGGAUUCCCGUAGUAACUGCGAGUGAAGCGGGAAAAGCUCAAAUUUAAAAUCUGGCGGUCUCYGGCCGUCCGAGUUGUAAUCUAGAGAAGUAAUGCCCGUGCUGGACCGUGUAUAAGUCUCCUGGGAUGGGGCGUCAUAGAGGGUGAGAAUCCCGUCUUUGACACGGACUACCAGUGCAUUGUGGUAUGCUCUCAAAGAGUCGAGUUGUUUGGGAAUGCAGCUCAAAAUGGGUGGUAAAUUCCAUCUAAAGCUAAAUAUUGGCGAGAGACCGAUAGCGAACAAGUACCGUGAGGGAAAGAUGAAAAGAACUUUGGAAAGAGAGUUAAACAGUACGUGAAAUUGCUGAAAGGGAAACGCUUGAAGUCAGUCGCGUUGGCCGGGGAUCAGCCUUGCUUUUGCAUGGUGUACUUUCUGGUUGACGGGUCAGCAUCAAUUUUGACCGCUGGAAAAAGACCUGGGGAAUGUGGCAGCUUCGGCUGUGUUAUAGCCCCUAGUCGCAUACAGUGGUUGGGAUUGAGGAACUCAGCACGCCGCAAGGCCGGGUUUCGACCACGUUCGUGCUUAGGAUGCUGGCAUAAUGGCUUUAAGCGACCCGUCUUGAAACACGGACCAAGGAGUCUAACAUGCCUGCGAGUAUUUGGGUGGAAAACCCAAGUGCGUAAUGAAAGUGAAAGUUGAGAUCCCUGUCGUGGGGAGCAUCGACGCCCGGACCAGAACUUUUGGGACGGAUCCGCGGUGGAGCAUGUAUGUUGGGACCCGAAAGAUGGUGAACUAUGCCUGAAUAGGGUGAAGCCAGAGGAAACUCUGGUGGAGGCUCGUAGCGAUUCUGACGUGCAAAUCGAUCGUCAAUUUGGGUAUAGGGCGAAAGACUAAUCGAACCAUCUAGUAGCUGGGUCCUGCCGAGUUUUCCCU
rnacentral:rRNA from 1 species